UACCAGCACCCCGAGUGGUCGGGACGAUUAUUGGGCCUAAAGCAUCCGUAGCCGGUCCUACAAGCCUUCCGUUAAAUCCACCUGCUUAACAGAUGGGCUGCGGAAGAUACUAUAGGGCUAGGAGGCGGGAGAGGCAAGCGGUACUCAGUGGGUAGGGGUAAAAUCCUCUGAUCCAUUGAAGACCACCAGUGGCGAAGGCGGCUUGCCAGAACGCGCUCGACGGUGAGGGAUGAAAAGCUGGGG
rnacentral:rRNA from 1 species